rnacentral:lncRNA from 1 species
AGAGAGAGAUAGGAAGAGAAGGCCAAGAGGACAAAGAGAACCAAGAGCACCCCAAAUGUCUGAGUUGUAUAGGAAUCGAAACCUGUGGGGAGGGAAGCUAAGCUCUGGAACUGGAGAGGUUUGGGGUAGGGGAGGGGCUGAGAGGCACCAGUCCCUGGCUUUAUGGACUUUGGGAUGUUAAACAGACACUAUAGUUAGCCAUUUGUGGUAAGUUUCUUUGGGACCUAAGAUUAAGCCCUCAAAAGUGUUGCAGAGCAGGGAAUGUCCAAAGGUACUUUCAUACCACACACACACACACACACACACACCACACAAAGCAAACAAACCCCCACAACUUCCUGAGAUGGUCCCCUGUGCCCUCGUCUAUGAUAGGGUCAUUCAAUGGCGACCAUGAGUCCAGGCCAUGCCCUCAAGACACGAGGAAGCUUACUAAGAGACAGGAAAGAGUCAGUGUCACCAGGGGCCUUAGGAGCCUAGAGUGGGAUAUCUGACUCAGCCUAUGCAUGUCUGAAGGGAGACUCUGAGAGGAGAGCAGUUGGUGUGUGGACAAGAAUUUUCUCUUUUGGCUACCAUGAGAUUUAAGCCCAAAUAUCCCUUUGGUUUAUCACAGAGUUAAUUAUUCAUUCACAUUUAUUGAUUUACAUUUAUUUUUUAUUAGAUAUUUUCUUUAUUUCCAUUUCAAAUGUUAUCCCCUUUCCUAUUUCCCCCUCCAAAAAUCCUCUAUCCCCUCUCCCCUCCCCCUGCUCCCCAACCCACCCACUCCUUCUUCCUGGCCCUGACAUUCCCCUAUACUGGGGCAUAGAAUCUUCACAGGACCAAGGGCCUCUCCUCCCAUUGAUGACUGACUAGGCCAUCCUCUGCUACAUAUGCAGCUAGAGCCAUGAGUCCCACCAUGUGUUUUUUUGAUUGGUGGUUUAGUCCCAGAGAACUCUGGGGGGUACUGGUUAGUUCAUAUGUUCCUCCGAUGUUCCUCUUAUGGGGCUGCAAACCACUUCAGCUCCUUGGGUCCUUUCUCUAGCUCCUUCAUUGGGGGUCCUGUGCUCAAUCCAAUAGAUAGCUGUGAGCAUCCACUUCUGUAUUUGUCAGGUACUGGAUUUAAAUUUAUUUUUUAAUGUUGGUUGAGCCUAGUAAGUCUGGAAAUCAUUAUAUAUUCCCUUUACACUGGUCCCCAAAGAAUCUUCUUGCCUUAGACUCCUAAGUGCAGAGUCGAUACACAUGCAAAAGUAAGUGUACACACAGGUGAGGCGAUGGUGGUCCUCACCUUUAAUGCCAGCUCAGGAGAGGCAUCGGCAGGUGAGUUGGAGGCAAGCCUGGUCUACAGAACGAGUUCUAGGACAGCCAGGGCUACACAAAGACACCUUGUCAAGAAAAGCAAAAAUAGCAACAAUAACAACAACAACUGAAAAUCAAAACGAAACUAAGUGUAUUUGAAUGCCAGAGUUGUUGCAUACUAGCUAUGUAGCAUUGACUUAUAAAACCUCUAAGGUCACUGUCAGGAGUAUUUAGCUUACUCCGUCU